rnacentral:rRNA from 1 species
UGGGGAAUAUUGCACAAUGGAGGGAACUCUGAUGCAGCGACGCCGCGUGAGUGAUGAAGGAAUUCGUUUCGUAAAACUCUGUUCUAUGGGAAGAAAAGGACUGUACCAUAGGAGAAAGCUCCGGCUAAAUACGUACCAGCAGCCGCGGUAAUACGUAUGGAGCGAGCGUUGUCCGGAAUUAUUGGGCGUAAAGGGUGCGCAGGCGGCUUUACAAGUUGGAUGUGAAAUAUUGUGGCUCAACCACUAACGUGCAUCCAAAACUGCAAAGCUUGAGUUAAGGAGAGGUAAGUGGAAUUCCGGGUGUAGCGGUGGAAUGCGUAGAUAUCAGGAGGAAUACCGGUGGCGAAGGCGACUUACUGGACUUAAACUGACGCUCAGGCACGAAAGCGUGGGGAGCAAACAGG